rnacentral:pre_miRNA from 1 species
AAUGGGAUAACUGGGUCAAAUGGUGGAUUCAUUCCAAGUUUUCUAAGGAAUCCCCAUACUGCUUUCCAGAGUAGUUGCACCAAUUUUCAGUCCCACCAGCAAU